CCGUGCUAGGCGGGGAGCUGGCGGUUCCCUGUACCCCCAACCCGCCAUAGGGGGGCCGAACUCCCGCCCGAGGCGGCGUGCCUACGGGUCCGGCCCGCGCGUGCGGUGAGGAGGGCUGGGUCCUGCGCAACGGGAGCCCGCGAACCCCGCCAGGUCCGGAAGGAAGCAACGGUAAGCGGUUCCUCCCGUGUGCCGCAGGGGCACCUGGCCGGAGUUGGCUGCGCGGAACCCGCCGCGGGUGCGUUCGUCGACGGCGGGUGCACGG
rnacentral:SRP_RNA from 1 species